rnacentral:rRNA from 1 species
CCUACGGGUGGCAGCAGUGAGGAAUAUCGGUCAAUGGGCGGGAGCCUGAACCAGCCAAGUCGCGUGAGGGAAGACGGUCCUAUGGAUUGUACACCUCUUUAUGCGGGGAGCAAUGCCGGGCACGCGUGCCCGGAGGGAGAGUACCCGCAGAAUAAGCAUCGGCUAACUCCGUGCCAGCAGCCGCGGUACUACGGAGGAUGCUAGCGUUAUCCGGAUUGAUUGGGUUUAAAGGGUGCGUAGGCGGAUUUUUAAGUCAGCGGUAAAAUGUCCGGGCUCAACCCGGGCCGGCCGUUGAAACUGGGGAUCUUGAGUGGGCGAGAAGUAUGCGGAAUGCGUGGUGUAGCGGUGAAAUGCAUAGAUAUCACGCAGAACUCCGAUUGCGAAGGCAGCAUACCGGUGCCCGACUGACGCUGAGGCACGAAAGCGUGGGGAUCGAACAGGAUUAGAUACCCCUGUAGUC